CUACGGAGGGUGCAAGCGUUACUCGGAAUCACUGGGCGUAAAGCGCGCGCAGGCGGCUAUUUAAGUUGGAUGUGAAAGCCUAUGGCUCAACCAUAGAACUGCAUCCAAAACUAUUUAGCUAGAGUGUGGGAGAGGAAGAUGGAAUUAGUUGUGUAGGGGUAAAAUCCGUAGAGAUAACUAGGAAUACCAAAAGCGAAGGCAAUCUUCUGGAACACUCCUGACGCUGAGGCGCGAAAGCGUGGGGAGCAAACAGGAUUAGAAACCCUAGUAGUCC
rnacentral:rRNA from 1 species